UACAGAGGUGGCAAGCGUUGUUCGGAAUUACUGGGCGUAAAGGGCGCGUAGGCGGCCUUCUAAGUCAGACGUGAAAUCCCCCGGCUUAACCUGGGAACUGCGUCUGAUACUGGGAGGCUUGAGUAUGGGAGAGGGAUGUAGAAUUCCAGGUGUAGCGGUGAAAUGCGUAGAUAUCGGGAGGAACAUCAGUGGCGAAGGCGGCUACCUGGCCCAAUACUGACACUCAGGUGCGACAGCGUGGGGAGCAAACAGG
rnacentral:rRNA from 1 species